rnacentral:rRNA from 1 species
CCUGNCCCUCGCUCUGGGACANACUCCGGGAAACCGGGGCUAAUACCGGAUACGACCUCGGACGGCAUCAUCUGAGGUGGAAAGUUUUUCGGCGAGGGAUGGGCCCGCGGCCUAUCAGCUUGUUGGUGAGGUAACGGCCCACCAAGGCGACGACGGGUAGCCGGCCUGAGAGGGCGACCGGCCACACUGGGACUGAGACACGGCCCAGACUCCUACGGGAGGCAGCAGUGGGGAAUAUUGCGCAAUGGGCGAAAGCCUGACGCAGCGACGCCGCGUGAGGNAUGAAGGCCUUCGGGUUGUAAACCUCUUUCAGCAGGUACGAAAACAAAAGGGUACCUGCAGAGU